UAAGGAAUAUUGGACAAUGGGCGCAAGCCUGAUCCAGCCAUGCCGCGUGAAGGAUUAAGGUCCUCUGGAUUGUAAACUUCUUUUAUAAGGGACGAAAAAAGGGAAUUCUUUCUCACUUGACGGUACCUUAUGAAUAAGCACCGGCUAACUCCGUGCCAGCAGCCGCGGUAAUACGGAGGGUGCAAGCGUUAUCCGGAUUCACUGGGUUUAAAGGGUGCGUAGGCGGGUAUUUAAGUCAGUGGUGAAAUCCUAGAGCUUAACUCUAGAACUGCCAUUGAUACUAUUUAUCUGGAAUAUUGUGGAGGGAAGCGGAAUAUGUCAUGUAGCGGUGAAAUGCUUAGAUAUGACAUAGAACACCUAUUGCGAAGGCAGCUUACUACGCAUAUAUUGACGCUGAGGCACGAAGGCGUGGGGAUCAAACAGG
rnacentral:rRNA from 1 species